GCCAGUCUGAAUCAGUGUCUUUCUCUCUGCCCUAUAUAGGCAGCAGAAGGGGGUAACUAACUGGGCUCAGCCCCCCACCCCCAAAUGCAGGGGGCAGCAGGUAUGGAUGGAGGGAAGCCUGGCCACUGGCUUCUGCAGCAGUGGGGAAGGGCACACACAUUCAGAUACUCUGUGCAGCCAGGAUCGUAGUCAGCUCAACAGGCAUAAUGACAGCUCUAUUGUUCCUGCUUGAAGAGCACAUCACACAUGUUUCUGUCCCUGAAUGUGAAGCCAACACAUAUGAUCAAAUUAAAUCAGCCUGGCUCAAGUACAUUUUAGAAACAACACAGUGCUGAACAUGUGAAAUUAAAUGCCACAAAACCCUCACCCAGCAACCCACCACCUGCAGCUCUACUAACCAUAUGCACAUGGCCUGUGGCUUUCCCCCUUCAUGAAGAGAAGUAGGAGCAGAAGUUGAUUCAUCUGAUGGAGUGUCCUGUUUCAUCUCAUCUUCAGAAAUGCAGUUGCUCAGCAAAAUUACAACUCAGAAAAACAAGAAAAGAAACCAGGAAAGCAAACAUAACAUAAUGUUAUAUAACAGAUUGAAAGAACAGUAAUAAAAGUAUCAGGUCUUUACCCCCCACCAUGAGCACUGUUACUCAAAGUUGCUGGCUUUCGCUGUGGAAAAACCUAGGUCUCCAUUCCCAAAGUAGUUUUGGCAAUGGGUAGGGUAGGAGCUAAUGACCCUCUGCUAUGGCAAUGCAUGCUCCACAACAUGUGCAUUCUUAGACAGGGCAGAGUCAUCCAAAGUAUCCAUUGGAACAAAUCAGACCUUGAAGUGCAGAGGUUUAAGUACCACAUCUUGUGCCUUUGGGAGAACCCUGCAGCAGAGAGUAGGGAAAGAGGGAGGGAAAGAAGGGUUGCUGGACAGCAUAGGGGUGCUCCUGCCUGGCUCCUACAGCAAGGUGGCACAGUGGAGGAUGCCCUUUUGGCAUCUAAGUCAGCACAGGGGCUGAUUCCAUGCUUUCUUCCCUUCCCUGCCCCUCCCCCACUCCCCACAAUUACACGAUUGCCAAACUGUUGCAAUCAGAUUUUAUAUACCAUAGGCAUUAUGUACGUGCUCCACAGACUUCAUAGUUAAAAGUUAUGAAAAAGAAUAACCUUCAACUCUCAGGACAAUAUUUGAAAGGCAUGUGUUGCGUAGCUCUAAGGACAAUACAGCACCUGAAACAGGAUGACUAAUGCAACUAGACCAUUUGUAUUUUGCAUAGAUUCAAUUACAUAGGUGCAAGUAGCAGUGGUGUGAUACAAUAGCACAAACAAAGCUCUCCAGGCCCAUUUAAUCUUUUAUGUAACCAACGGCUUCAAUGAGUUUACAGAAUGGAUGACUUUGGCCCUUCAUGGUUACUGGAAGAACAUAUCACUUCUCUUUACUCAUUUGACACCCUUCUGUACUUUGGAUCACGCUGCAUCUGUUGAAAGAUAUGUGGGUAUUGCAUUCACAGGGUCUGCAUUUAAAUAGACAGUCCUAACUGUUACUGCAGGGCAAGCAGUUAAUCACUGGAAAGCCACUUCCGUGAGGAACUAAUUGAUUCACAUCGUGAGAGAGAUUUUGCCAUCUACUUCAUAUGCUCUUUCCCCAAAUCACUGAUUUUGACAUUUUCUUUAAUAUUUCAUAAAGUCUUUUGCAACUGACUGACA